GAACCAGUACCGUGAGGGAAAGGUGAAAAGCACCCCGGAAGGGGAGUGAAAUAGAACCUGAAACCGUGUGCUUACAAGUAGUCAGAGCCCGUUAAUGGGUGAUGGCGUGCCUUUUGUAGAAUGAACCGGCGAGUUACGAUUUGAUGCAAGGUUAAGCAGUAAAUGUGGAGCCGUAGCGAAAGCGAGUCUGAAUAGGGCGUUUAGUAUUUGGUCGUAGACCCGAAACCAGGUGAUCUACCCUUGGUCAGGUUGAAGUUCAGGUAACACUGAAUGGAGGACCGAACCGACUUACGUUGAAAAGUGAGCGGAUGAACUGAGGGUAGCGGAGAAAUUCCAAUCGAACCUGGAGAUAGCUGGUUCUCUCCGAAAUAGCUUUAGGGCUAGCCUCAAGUGAUGAUUAUUGGAGGUAGAGCACUGUUUGGACGAGGGGCCCCUCUCGGGUUACCGAAUUCAGACAAACUCCGAAUGCCAAUUAAUUUAACUUGGGAGUCAGAACAUGGGUGAUAAGGUCCGUGUUCGAAAGGGAAACAGCCCAGACCACCAGCUAAGGUCCCAAAAUAUAUGUUAAGUGGAAAAGGAUGUGGCGUUGCCCAGACAACUAGGAUGUUGGCUUAGAAGCAGCCAUCAUUUAAAGAGUGCGUAAUAGCUCACUAGUCGAGUGACACUGCGCCGAAAAUGUACCGGGGCUAAACAUAUUACCGAAGCUGUGGAUUGUCCUUUGGACAAUGGUAGGAGAGCGUUCUAAGGGCGUUGAAGCAUGAUCGUAAGGACAUGUGGAGCGCUUAGAAGUGAGAAUGCCGGUGUGAGUAGCGAAAGACGGGUGAGAAUCCCGUCCACCGAUUGACUAAGGUUUCCAGAGGAAGGCUCGUCCGCUCUGGGUUAGUCGGGUCCUAAGCUGAGGCCGACAGGCGUAGGCGAUGGAUAACAGGUUGAUAUUCCUGUACCACCUAUAAUCGUUUUAAUCGAUGGGGGGACGCAGUAGGAUAGGCGAAGCGUGCGAUUGGAUUGCACGUCUAAGCAGUAAGGCUGAGUAUUAGGCAAAUCCGGUACUCGUUAAGGCUGAGCUGUGAUGGGGAGAAGACAUUGAGUCUUCGAGUCGUUGAUUUCACACUGCCGAGAAAAGCCUCUAGAUAGAAAAUAGGUGCCCGUACCGCAAACCGACACAGGUAGUCAAGAUGAGAAUUCUAAGGUGAGCGAGCGAACUCUCGUUAAGGAACUCGGCAAAAUGACCCCGUAACUUCGGGAGAAGGGGUGCUCUUUAGGGUUAACGCCCAGAAGAGCCGCAGUGAAUAGGCCCAAGCGACUGUUUAUCAAAAACACAGGUCUCUGCUAAACCGUAAGGUGAUGUAUAGGGGCUGACGCCUGCCCGGUGCUGGAAGGUUAAGAGGAGUGGUUAGCUUCUGCGAAGCUACGAAUCGAAGCCCCAGUAAACGGCGGCCGUAACUAUAACGGUCCUAAGGUAGCGAAAUUCCUUGUCGGGUAAGUUCCGACCCGCACGAAAGGCGUAACGAUUUGGGCACUGUCUCAACGAGAGACUCGGUGAAAUCAUAGUACCUGUGAAGAUGCAGGUUACCCGCGACAGGACGGAAAGACCCCGUGGAGCUUUACUGUAGCCUGAUAUUGAAAUUCGGCACAGCUUGUACAGGAUAGGUAGGAGCCUUUGAAACGUGAGCGCUAGCUUACGUGGAGGCGCUGGUGGGAUACUACCCUAGCUGUGUUGGCUUUCUAACCCGCACCACUUAUCGUGGUGGGAGACAGUGUCAGGCGGGCAGUUUGACUGGGGCGGUCGCCUCCUAAAAGGUAACGGAGGCGCUCAAAGGUUCCCUCAGAAUGGUUGGAAAUCAUUCAUAGAGUGUAAAGGCAUAAGGGAGCUUGACUGCGAGACCUACAAGUCGAGCAGGGUCGAAAGACGGACUUAGUGAUCCGGUGGUUCCGCAUGGAAGGGCCAUCGCUCAACGGAUAAAAGCUACCCCGGGGAUAACAGGCUUAUCUCCCCCAAGAGUUCACAUCGACGGGGAGGUUUGGCACCUCGAUGUCGGCUCAUCGCAUCCUGGGGCUGUAGUCGGUCCCAAGGGUUGGGCUGUUCGCCCAUUAAAGCGGUACGCGAGCUGGGUUCAGAACGUCGUGAGACAGUUCGGUCCCUAUCCGUCGUGGGCGUAGGAAAUUUGAGAGGAGCUGUCCUUAGUACGAGAGGACCGGGAUGGACAUACCUCUGGUGUACCAGUUGUCGUGCCAACGGCAUAGCUGGGUAGCUAUGUGUGGACGGGAUAAGUGCUGAAAGCAUCUAAGCAUGAAGCCCCCCUCAAGAUGAGAUUUCCCAACUUCGGUUAUAAGAUCCCUCAAAGAUGAUGAGGUUAAUAGGUUCGAGGUGGAAGCAUGGUGACAUGUGGAGCUGACGAAUACUAAUCGAUCGAAGACUUAAUCAA
rnacentral:rRNA from 1 species